ACUCAUUACAGAAAGCGUGACCGUGAUCGUUGCAACUGGUCCUCCUGAGUUAUAUUCCUUUCGUUUCACCUUCGAAAGCAAUGGCUUUUCACUCUGCAAUUCAUUGAGUCGAUGUCACAGUUGUUCACUGUACGCCGUCAAGAAGACCGUAAUAAAGGAGCAAGACGCUCAGUUUCCUGGCUCAUGAAUAAA